CACGUAGGGCGCAAGCGUUGUCCGGAAUUAUUGGGCGUAAAGAGCUCGUAGGCGGACUGUCACGUCUGCUGUGAAAAGCUAGGGCUUAACCCUGGCCUUGCAGUGGAUACGGGCAGACUAGAGGUAGGUAGGGGAGAAUGGAAUUCCCGGUGUAGCGGUGAAAUGCGCAGAUAUCGGGAGGAACACCGGUGGCGAAGGCGGUUCUCUGGGCCUUACCUGACGCUGAGGAGCGAAAGCGUGGGGAGCGAAACAGG
rnacentral:rRNA from 1 species